UAGCAUACAUCUCUCAAAAAAACUCAUUCCGAACUUUUAGAUAGUUAGGGACAGAACUAUUUUUUAACGUUGUCAGCAUUGCUUUAGCGCAAACAUAAAGGCCCGAAUAUUGAGCUGCACGGACAGAUUAAAAUAAUAAUAAUAAUAUUCGGAAUAAGGGAAUCUCGCAUAAUGGAUAUUUCUGGAGGAUCCCCGACAUUUACGCAGCUUUUACGCGAUUUACCUGAUCUGGAACAUGAUGGGGGUUCGCAGGAGCAAAAGUCUGGCAGACAAUCACCAACGGCCUUUUUUCGUUCCGACAUACAGCCCUUUAUGAUAAAGGAUGCGUUACGGACAGCUGACACGCAGGACUUUGAUGCAAUUCUACCGUUCACUGUGGCCCAAGUACACUGCUCAGAAUCAAGCCCACCCGAAAACUACUGUUGGGCCGGGAACUUGCUGCUUCACGAGCCGGCGCU